GGUUGCCCCAUAGAUCUAUGGGGCUGGAGCUGGGAUUGGGGGGGGGCGUGGGUCACACCCCAUAGAUCUAUGGGUCCAAAACUGCGAUUAGGGGGUGAGUCACACCCCAUAGAUCUGUGGGGCUGGAGCUGCGAUUAGGAGGUGUGUGGGCCGCACCCCACAGAUCUAUGGGGCUGGAGCUGGGAUUGGGGGGAUGGGGCUGACACCCCAUAGAUCUGUGGGUCCAAAGCUGCGAUUAGGGGGGGGGUGGGCCACGCCCCAUAGAUCUGUGGGGCUGGAGCUGCGCUUAGGGCGUGUGUGGGCCGCACCCCACAGAUCUAUGGGUCAGCCCCCACCUUACCCCCCCUCCCCUUUCCCAGCCCCCCCAUGGGGUCGGACACACACACACACCCCCCUCCCCCCACAGCACUUGUGGGGCGCAGUAUGGUUGGGGGUCCCGCCCCACUGCUGCAGUGGGGGCAAAUCUAUGGGCCCAGAGCUGUGAUUAGGGGGUGCAUGGCUCACACCCCAUAGAUCUAUGGGGUGUGACCCACACAUCCCUUAAUGACACCCCACAGAUCUAUGCGUCUGGACGUGCAAUUAGGCGAUGCGUGGGCUGUGCCCCACAGAUCUAUGGGUCCAGAGCUGUGAUUAGGAGGGGGCGUGGGCUGUGCCCCAGAGAUACGUGGGUCCAGAGCUGUGAUUAGGAGGGGGCUUAGGCUGUGCCCCACAGAUCUAUGGGGCUGGAGCUGCGAUUAGGAGGGGCCGUGGGCUGUGCCCCACAGAUCUGUGGGUCCGGAGCUGUGAUUAGGAGGGGCCGUAGGCUGUGCCCCACAGAUCUAUGGGUCCAGAGCUGUGAUUAGGAGGGGCCGUGGGCUGUGCCCCACAGAUCUAUGGGUCCAGAGCUGUGCUUAGGGAGCACGUGGGCCACACCCCACAGAUCUAUGGGUCACCCCCCCCCCUCCUGACCCCCCAUAACCNCCUCCCCUUUCCCAGCCCCCCCCCCCUCCAUGGGGCCACCCCCUUUCCCCUCUCUCCUCUCUCCCCACGGCACUUGUGGGGCGCAGGAUGGUUGGGGGUCCCGCCCCACUGCUGCAGUGGGGCCAGGCGGCCGGGGCGCUGCUGGUGCUGCGGGCGCGGCGGGCGCUGCUGCGCGCGGGGGUUUUGGCCUUCCUCGCCCUCCUCCUCCUCUGGGCCUCCAUCUUCCUCUACGGCACCUUCUACUACUCCUACAUGCCGGCCGCCGCCUUCGUCCGCCCCGUCCAUUAUUCCUUCCGGUGGGUCACUCGACUUAGGGGGCAGGGGGUUGGGGGGCUGCCCCCCAACCUUUUCACCCCCCCCCUUUUUUUAU
rnacentral:lncRNA from 1 species